rnacentral:rRNA from 1 species
UGGUGGAGUGAUUUGUCUGGUUAAUUCCGAUAACGAACGAGACUCUGUCCUGCUAACUAGGUUGUGUUUUCUCGGGUCGGUGUUUCUGGUGUUCCUUCUCGGGGCGCCGGCCCAAUCCACUUGUGAACACAACACUCUUCUUAGAGGGACUGGCGGCUGUUAGCCGCACGAGAUAGAGCAAUAACA